rnacentral:rRNA from 1 species
AAAGGAAUUGACGGAAGGGCACCACCAGGAGUGGAGCCUGCGGCUUAAUUUGACUCAACACGGGAAAACUCACCAGGCCCGGACACCGGGAGGAUUGACAGAUUGAGAGCUCUUUCUUGAUUCGGUGGGUGGUGGUGCAUGGCCGUUCUUAGUUGGUGGAGCGAUUUGUCUGGUUAAUUCCGAUAACGAACGAGACUCUAGCCUACUAAAUAGACGAUACCGGUAUCCACACUAGUGCUACCGGCGAUCAAAACUCUUCUUAGAGGUACAGGCGGCUCCUAGCCGCACGAGACUGAGCGAUAACAGGUCUGUGAUGCCCUUAGAUGUCCUGGGCCGCACGCGCGCUACACUGAAGGAAUCAGCGUGUCCUCCCUGUCCGAAAGGACCGGGUAACCCGCUGAACCUCCUUCGUGCUGGGGAUUGGGGCUUGCAAUUGUUCCCCAUGAACGAGGAAUUCCCAGUAAGCGCGAGUCAUAAGCUCGCGUUGAUUACGUCCCUGCCCUUUGUACACACCGCCCGUCGCUACUACCGAUUGAAUGAUUUAGCGAGGUCUUCGGACCGGCCCGCGGGGGUGGCCUUCGCGGCCGCUCGCGAUCGGUCGGGAAGAUUACCGAACUUGAUCAUU